UCCCGGCCGGUCACCAGCCCUGCAGCCCUCUCCCUGGCUGCGCAGAAUCUUUGGUUUAGGCCUGGUGGGGCCCUUCUGCCUCCAGUAGGCACGUUCCAGGGCUUUAAACCCAGGAAAAAGUGAAGACUGGAGUAGGUAAAGGACCCAACCACUGUUUGGUCAAGUUCUUGGCCUGGAGACCCCAGCCAGGACAUAUACAGAGGACAGGAGGCUGGGUGGCCCCAGGCAGCUCAGAGCUCUCAGCAAAGCAGUGGCGCUGGGACAGAAGCCAACACCCUAAACCAAUAAGAGCACCUGCUGCAGGCCACACUGAAAGCUCCUGGUGUGGGGCUGUCCCCGAGGGACCCAGGGCACCAGGUGCCAGCCCCCUGCAUGUCUCCACCAUGGGUCCGUAGGGGUAGGUGUGUGACAUGGAGCCAACGCUCUCACAAUGACCGUGGCCAGGUCAUCCUGGCCUCAGUUUCCUCACCUAUUCUCUAAAGUCCCCUCAAACCCCAAACUUUGAUUCAUCACUUCUCAGUUUCCACCUCUAAAAGGUGUGUCUGCUUUUAUGAAAAUCUAACUGGUUCUAUAAUAAACACUGAAAUGAAAUAUGCAGGCUGAA